ensembl:lncRNA
CUUGACCAGCCCCCUGUUCUAAAGGCGUCUCCCUCUCUGAUAAACUCUCCUCUCCUCUCAUUCUGCCUCAUCUCUGAAAACUUUUCCAGCCCGUGCACAGACCACCACACUCCCCCAAAACACACUUCCUUCAGAGUGCAGUGACAUUCAGAUGCCAUCACAUCUGAGACCACCUGCGACCUGCCUCCAGCCUCUCAAAAGUGGACUUCUUCUUGCUUCGAGAUGCUGAGUCACAAAGAGUACUUCGGUCUGUCUGACCCCUUUGCGGACACUCACAUUGACGGGGCGGUGAACCUCGUAUUCCCUGCUGGAGCUUAGGGAGUGACCUGCCUGGAUUGAAGUCUCAGCUCUACGACCUCUGUGAGCUUGGACACGUCACAUGUCUUCUGCUGCCUUGGACAGAAACUAGAGAUAGAAAGCUCUGUAGGCAACCUUGAGCAGUUUUGUCCGUUCUGGAGACACUGGGCAGAAACAGAGGCCGAAAUGCAGUGACGCUGUUGCACAGAUCCACCCCCCAAAUCUUUGGCAUCAGGGCAAAUGGACAAACGCAGCAUUUCCAUCUUUUAAGGCACGUUCCACACACGAUCUUCCAAAAGAAUGUUCUGCUUUCCAGGAGCCAAGGAAAUAGAAGAUCAACUGUUCCAAACAGAAGCCCAGUCCUGUGGUUUUCUAGGAGGAAGGCUGAGGAGCUGAGGCCAAACUCUGUCUUAUGUAAAACUGCAAAGCUGGUGGUGGAAAUGGAGAUGAGCCUCUGGCGUGGGAGACGGUGGAGGAAAAGCAUAGGGAUGCCUUACAUCUGGUUGGAAAAAUUCUGAGACCUCAUGUUUACUGCUGGGAGAAGGUCAAAGACUGUCUACUCCUGGCUGCAAAUGGACCUGUUAAAUUUCCUGAUGUUCCUCUAAAAAUUAAAGGAGUUUGGCCUCCCUGGUGGCUAACUUGGUAAAGAAUCCACGUGCAAUGAAGGAGACCUGGGUUCAAUCCCUGCGUCCGGAAGAUCCCCUGGAGGAGGGCAUGGCAACCCACCCCAGUAUUUUUGCCUGGAGACUCCCAUGGACGGAGGAGCCUGGCGGGCUACAG